GCCGCCGUGCGUCCGCGCGAAGCUGCGCGCUAGCUCGCUGGCCGGCUCGCGCUCAGCCCGCACCUCCAGCUCGUCGACCAGGCCGUCCCGAGCUGCUGCCGCCGCCGCCGUUCGGUCACCGGAGCAGCCGAAGCCAGCUCGUCGCCGCUUCUCCUUCGCUCGUGCACCUGCGCUCGCGCCACCGCUCUUCCUCCGUUCGCCGAGAUCCAGCUCGUCCUCGCCUCUAUGGGCUGCUGUAGGCCGCGGAUCAGCCACCUCCGGCCACCGUGGGACCUCGCCUGGCCGCCGUGUGCUGCCGUCCGAGCUGCCGCCUCCUUCCUCCACCGUUCCUUCGCCCGAAUCGCCGCCGGACAGCCCUCCUCCGCCGUGAACAGCAGCUGGAAAAAUGGGUAUUCCAGCCCGAUUUUGGCCCGUUUUGGCCGCCUUCCCGAGCCCGAAUGCUCGGCCCGCUUUGAGGAAAGUCGAUCCUUGCGUCGUCCCUGUCGUUUUGGUCCGCUCGGCUCGCUAAUCCGGUGAGUUUAACUCACUAAAUCUUGAUUAGACGGUUAAUGAUGCCCUAAGUGUGCUUAGUCUAAGUUAAGUAAGUUUAGGUGGUUAGAUUAGUUUAUUUGGUUGAGGAUUAUAUUAAGAUGCUUAAUUAAGUUAAAGUGUGUUUAGUUUAAAGUUAAGUAUGUUUAUUUUAAUAUAAAGCUUUGAUGUGACAUAAUAGGGUUUUACUUUUGAAUUAUUUAAUGUUUUCGAAUUCUGGAAAUUAUAAUAUUAUAUUAAUUCCGAAAUUAUUAAAAUAUUAUUAUAAAAAAAAAACCGGAAAAAUUAUUUUUGAUCCCGAUUGCUCAUAAUUUCGUGCUGAUCGCUGCUGUGUAGUUGGAUUUCGAAAUUGAUGGUUGGAUAUUAUAAAUUGAACGUGGAUCGUGAAAUAUAUGGAUAUUAUUAUUAAAUUAAUUUUCGGAAUAAAUUUAAUUAUUGAACCUUAUUUCCUUAGAAUUUCAUGCUGAUCGCUGCUGUGCAUUUAGAAUUUGAAUUUGGUGAAUGGAUGUGACAAAUUGAGUGUUGAUUGUGAUCAAUAUGGAUUUUAUUUUUAAAAACCCAAAUGUGGGGCUUUGAUGCAAAAAUUGGAUUUUAAUGAUUAUAUUAAAUAGUGGGGUUUGAAAAAAAUGAGAUAUUGGCGUAUUUUAUUUCUAAUAGGGGUUUAGGGGGUUGAACUUGCUGAGACGUUGUCUCAGUGAUUAUUGAAUAACCAUUUCAGGUCCCUGGUGGACGGAACGGCCAGAUAGCUUUGGUUGGCUUUAAGGAGUUGGAGAGGUGAAGUCAUAAGGAUUGGAGAUCGUGUACGACUUGUAGGUCGUAGGAUAACCUCUUUU
rnacentral:lncRNA from 1 species